GGGAUGAGAGGAGUAGGUCUGCAUAGCCUGGUCUAAAAACGGCACAAACAGAUCUGGGACCAGGCUAUGGUCAUCAAGCAUCGAUGCUGGCUCUGGGCUGGGGUUUGGGAAAUGUAUGAAAUUAGAGACUUUCAUGGAUCUGAUAAUCUCUUGGCCUGGUCCCGUGGCCUGGGUCCCGUGGCCUGGUCCCGUGGCCAAGGUCCCGUGGCCUAGGUCCCGUGGCCUGGUCUCAUAUCUGCUUGUGUCUUGUCAACUCCUAUGGUUGUUGUUAUUGCUGUUUGGCCUGACCAUGACCAUAGGAGUUGGGUAACAGAGCACAAACCAAUCAGGGACCAGGAUCCGGUCAUCAAUCAACAACACUCUCUCUGGGCUGGUGUUUAGGACGUUUAUAAAGUUGGUGCUUUCAGCCCUAUCUUCUCCCCUCUUUGAUCUCUCUCUCUCUCUACCUCCCCCCCUCUCUCCCUCCCUCCCUCUCUGCCUCCCGAGUGGCCUCCCAGUGCUAGAGGCGUCACUACAGACCCUGG
rnacentral:lncRNA from 1 species